rnacentral:rRNA from 1 species
AGUCACUGACAUUAGAUACCCCUGUAGUCCAGGGUGUAAACGCUGCAGACUUGGUGUUUGGAGGCCCUUUGGGGGCAUUCAGUGCCGGAGAGAAGUUGUUAAGUCUGCUACUUGGGGAGUACGUCCGCAAGGAUGAAACUUAAAGGAAUUGGCGGGGGAGCACCCGCAACGGGAGGAGCGUGCGGUUUAAUUGGAUUCAACACCGUAAACUCACCAGGGAAGACUGUUACAUGAAGGCCGAGAUGAAGACUCUGCUAGAUUUUCAG